rnacentral:rRNA from 1 species
CAGCAGCCGCGGGAAUACGUAGGUGGCAAGCGUUGUCCGGAAUUAUUGGGCGUAAAGGGCUCGCAGGCGGUUUCUUAAGUCUGAUGUGAAAGCCCCCGGCUCAACCGGGGAGGGUCAUUGGAAACUGGGAAACUUGAGUGCAGAAGAGGAGAGUGGAAUUCCACGUGUAGCGGUGAAAUGCGUAGAGAUGUGGAGGAGCACCAGUGGCGAAGGCGACUCUCUGGUCUGUAACUGACGCUGAGGAGCGAAAGCGUGGGGAGCGAACAGGAUUAGAGACCCCUGUAGUCCCUGUCUCUUAUAC